GAUGAACGCUGGCGGCGUGCCUAAUACAUGCAAGUCGAGCGAACGGACGAGAAGCUUGCUUUUCUGAUGUUAGCGGCGGACGGGUGAGUAACACGUGGAUAACCUACCUAUAAGACUGGGAUAACUUCGGGAAACCGGAGCUAAUACCGGCUAAUAUUUUGAACCGCAUGGUUCAUAAGUGAAAGACGGUCUUGCUGUCACUUAUAGAUGGAUCCGCGCUGCAUUAGCUAGUUGGUAAGGUAACGGCUUACCAAGGCAACGAUGCAUAGCCGACCUGAGAGGGUGAUCGGCCACACUGGAACUGAGACACGGUCCAGACUCCUACGGGAGGCAGCAGUAGGGAAUCUUCCGCAAUGGGCGAAAGCCUGACGGAGCAACGCCGCGUGAGUGAUGAAGGUCUUCGGAUCGUAAAACUCUGUUAUUAGGGAAGAACAUAUGUGUAAGUAACUGUGCACAUCUUGACGGUACCUAAUCAGAAAGCCACGGCUAACUACGUG
rnacentral:rRNA from 1 species